GAUGAAGAACGCAGCGCAAUGCGAUAAGUAGUGUGAAUUGCAGAAUUUAGUGAAUCAUCGAAUCUUUGAACGCACAUUGCGCCCUUUGGUAUUCCUUAGGGCAUGCCUGUUCGAGCGUCAUCUACACCCUCAAGCACAGCUUGGUGAUGGGCGCCUGUCCCGCCCCCCACGGGGGCGCGGACUCGCCUCAAAUGCAUUGGCGGCCGGCGACCUGGCUUCGAGCGCAGCAGAAACGCGUACUCGGGGACCGGGCGCCCGCUCCCAGAAGCCAACCCACCCAGUUUGACCUCGGAUCAGGUAGGGAUACCCGCUGAACUUAAGCAUAUCAAUAAGCGGAGGA
rnacentral:misc_RNA from 1 species